rfam:Schizosaccharomyces cryophilus OY26 unplaced genomic scaffold supercont4.7, whole genome shotgun sequence.
UUCUACGGCCAUACCUAGGCAAAAACGCCAGUUCCCGUCCGAUCACUGCCGUUAAGUGAAAAUGUCUGAGGGUCUCGUUAGUACUAUGGUUGGAGACAACAUGGGAAUCCGGGGUGCUGUAGGUU